rnacentral:lncRNA from 1 species
CCAAUUCUGGAAGAGUACUGCCAUCUUCUUCAUAGUCCAGUCAUAAAUUCGCACCUUCAACUCUUCAUCGUUGGUGUCGAAGGUGAAAACGUCUGUGACGGCUUUCCAAACUAACUCCUUGUCACGAUCAGAGACAAAACUGAUCUCAGGAGCACCUCGCUUCUCUCUCCAUUCACGAGCACUGAUCGGUAUUUGAUCUCUCACAAGAUAUCCACAGUGACUAACAUAUUUAUUUGCAUGCUCACCAAGUGGUCUGCCUGUAGCUAUCUCAAACUCAGAGAUUACAUAGCGGCCCUCCAACGGCUUCUUUGGCCCUCGUGGAGGUACGCUUCUCCCCGUAGAGGUUGAUCCAGAAGGCUACACGUAGAUAUAGAAACAAAAAUACUAAAUUAAUAACCAAGUAAUAAGUCUAAAACCUAACGUAAGAGAUGCAUUAAUUAUAUAUGUUUACAUUUACAAACCUCGCCAGUAUUUUCUUCUUGUUGCACGACAAGUUGUUGCUCAGGGGCAUUGCCCUCUUGUUGCUCAGUAGGAUUGCCUUGCAUGAUGUCGUGGUAAUCAACAAAGUACUGACUACCGUCGUCGAUCAUAUUUUGAAUGGCAUCUUCCAUAUAAUCAGGAUCAUCAUGAGGACGGUCAGCCAUUUCUAUGUCUACAACCAUACAUAUAUAUAUAUUCUAUAUAAGAUAAGAAAUACACUAAUACUACUACAAAUGAAAGUGUUGGAGUGCUCUAAAAAUAAUACUAGGAUCUUUUAAGCCAAGUAAUACAUUAGAAUAAAAAACAAUACUAGAAUAAUAUAUAGUACAAACAAUAAUAUAUACAAAACCCUACUAGACUAGAAUUUGGUGGGUAAACACUAUUAGAAUAUAUUAAGCCAAGUAAUAGACUAGAAUUCAUAAAGUAUAUACUAAAAUAUAAUACUACAAAAUAAUACAAGAAUAAUAUUAAUAUACUACAAAUAUACUAUAAUUUAUAACAAUUCAAAACACUACACAUGUAUACUAGCUAGAAUGGAGUGCUCUAAAAAUUAAUACUAGAAUCUUUUAAGCCAAGUAAUACACUAAAAUAAUAUACUAAAAAACAAUACUAAAAUAAUAUAGUACAAACAAUAAUAUAUACAAAACACUCCUAGAAUAAAUUUGGUAGGUAAACACUACUAGAAUAUAUUAAGCCAAGAAAUAGACUAGAAUAAUAUAGUACAAACAAUAAUAUAUAUGUGCGUAUAUAUGUGUGUACAUACAAAAUAAUAUAUAUGUGUGUACAUACAAAAAAUAAUAUAUAUGUGUGUAUAUAUGUGUGUACAUACAAAAUAAUAUACAUACAUAAAAAAAAUAAUACAUAUAUAAAAAAAUAAAACAUACAUACAUACUAUAUAUAUAUAUACUAGAAUAAUAUAUUAAAAAAAUAAUACAUACAUAUAUACAAACAAUUAUAAUUCAUACAUACAAACUAUAUAUAUGUGUGUAUAUAUGUAAAAAAAUAAUAUACAUACAUAAAAAAAUAAUACAUAUAUACAAAAAAUAAAACAUACAUACAUACUAUAUAUAUAUACUAGAAUAAUAUAUUAAAAAAAUAAUACAUACAUACAUACAAACAAUUAUAAUUCAUAUAUACAUACAAACUAUAUAUAUGUGUAUAUAUGUACAAAAAAUAAUAUACAUAUAUACAAAAAAUAAUACAUAUAUAUACAUAAAAAUAUAUACAAAAAAUAAUACUACAAGGGGGCGUUCUCGAUCUAUACAUUUUGCUUAGCACACAGCCGGCCGUAGAGAGGAAGAUCGACGUUUGGAAGAUGUGUGGCCUGCGCGCGCUCGAUCUGCAGGUGGCCCGCUGCGGCGCCGCUGGUGGAUCGCCGCGGCGGCGGCGUUGGCGGAGGGCCGCGGCGGCGCUGGUGGAGGGCCGCGGCGGCGCUGGUGGAGACGGUGGUCGCGGCGGCGAGGGAGUCGAAACGACGGCGGCGAAGAUGAACCCGGCGGCGCUGGAACGAAGACGAAGACGAAGGAACUGCGGAUCCAGGACAACUGCUUGGUUAUAUAGGGGUGGACCCUUUAGCACCGGUCCGUGACUGGAACCGGUGCUAAAGGGUCUUUAACACCGGCCGGUAACAAGAGCCGGUGAGGCCCAUUUUUUAGUUUAGGGUUUUUCAAUUGUUUUAUAUAUACAGUUUAUAUUAUAAAUUAUAUAGUAAAUUAAAUAUUUUGCAUAAUAUUUUUUAAACAGUGACAUAUAUUAUAAUUUGUUUUAAUGUACACAUGAAAAAUUUUAAACUUAAAUAUCUUAUUGUAUUUUUAUAAUUUGCAAUGAUUUUGUAAGAAAUGUUUAGUAUUUUGUUAAUGCAAAAAUAUAUUAUUCCAAUAAAUUUACAAAAACUAUAUCCAAUGAACUGGAAAUUUAUUUUCACAUCAUAUUGAGGUAAAACUUUUUAUUUUUGUUAUUUAUUACUAGGAAUGCUAGUUGGGUAUAAUUUUCAUCAAAUAAAAAAUCAUAUAAAAAUAUAUAUCUUGAUGAACACACCCUUUGACCGAACCCUAGAUUGUCCCAAAUGGAAAAGUCAUGAAUACAAAGUUUGCUACACUCAUCAAGUUCUACAUUUUGUCUAAUCGUCAACUUUUCAUUUGGAAAAGUUUGAACCACUGAAUUUUGAAUUUUCAGAGAACUCAUAUCCACGCAGCGGUUUCGGAACCCUAGAUGGUCUCGAAUGGAAAAGUCAUGAAUACCAAUAUUGUUCCACUCAUCAAAAUCUACAUUUCAUAUAUAGACCAUUUUUUGCAUUUGACAAAGUUUUGGGAAGCUGUAGUUGAAAAUCCACAAUUGACACAUAUAGUCAUGACAAUUUUUGCAUUUGAUGAUCUCUAACAAUUGGAAAAGUCAUGAAUACAAAGUCAUGAAUACAAAGUUUGUUACACACAUCAAAAUUCACAAUUCUCAAAUAUAGUUUCAUACAAAGUCAAGCCGACACAACAGUGAACUUCUUCUUGACGUAUGACCCUUGGUUAUGAUCCUGCCGUAACCAUGGAGUAUCCUCAUUGUUUAACAGAAUGCUUGGGUCUUUGUUGACUAUGAAGGGCGGAAUUCGAUCAUCCCUUUCGUAAUCGCCUGACAUGUCUGACUUGUCCUCAAUUCCGACAAUGUUUCUUUUCCCAGAAAGGACAAUGUUGCGCUUUUUGGCUCAUUGAUGAUUGAGUGGUCAUCAUUUUUUCCUCUCUUUGGUUUCGUAGACAUAUCUUUGACAUAGAACACCUGACUCACGUCUGCAACAAGGACGAAUGGUUCGUCUUUGAACGCACUAUUGUUAAGGUCCACGGUUGUCAUCCCAUACUUCUUGUCGACUGUUACCCCACCUCCGGUCAUCUUCACCCAUUGGCACCGGAACAA